rnacentral:rRNA from 1 species
UACAGAGGUCUCAAGCGUUGUUCGGAUUCAUUGGGCGUAAGGGUGUGUAGGUGGCGCCGUUAGUCGGGUGUGAAAUUUCGGAGCUUAACUCCGAAACUGCAUUUGAUACUGCGGUGCUUGAGGACUGGAGAGGAGACUGGAAUUCAUGGUGUAGCAGUGAAAUGCGUAGAUAUCGGGAGGAACACCUGUGGCGAAAGCGGCGCACUGGACCAUAACUGACGCUGAGGCGCGAAAGCUAGGGGAGCAAACAGG